rnacentral:lncRNA from 1 species
AAUCCUCACCAUGGAACCACUUGCUUAUUGCUUUUGAAAUAGCUCUUUGAAAGGCUGGUUUGCAAAUGUACUCUUGUACUAGUGAGGGGAUGUUUCCCUGGAAUAAUGAGAAAUCUCUCUGUCCUGCUUUUAUAGAAAAACAAAACAAAACAAAACAAAAAAGCACCCACUCCCAAUUCGUUCAAGUAGGAGAAGCUUGGAACUGCACAAAACUUGCCUUUCUGAGGCUCACACAGACUAUAAAUGUGAGAAGCCAUCAGAAGCUAACAACAGCAGGAAAUGUCAAGGUGAGUUACAGGGGUGUGGGAGAGGUUGAGACCAGAUUGUUAGGCAGUCAGGGAUUGUGAUGUCUCAAGAGCAAAUGAAGUUGUGAAAAAAAGUUGGGAAUGGUGUACCAAAAACUUUUGGGGAGAGGAAGGGAGAGAGAGAUCCCCUUGAUUCCCCAACAGUUUGCAGCUGGCCAGAUACUAGAGAGGGUAGCCUUCCAAGUAAGGGUCUGAAUGUGAAUGUCACAGCAGCUUGGAGCAGGUGUUCCUGGUCGCGAGCAUCAGGACUGUGAGAGGAUCAAAGAACACCAUGCAGAACAGGCAGAGAUCAACUUGGGAUCAUUUAAGGACCAGCCUGAAGGCACAUUUUAAGAGUGGUCUUGGAACCUGAAACCAGAAGAAACCAGUCAUGUUGGAAUCUUCAUCUCUCAUUCAUUCUUGGGAAAUAGGAACCCACUCCAAGAUCCUUGUACCUUCCUACCCGAACCUCAGGUUCCUCUGGUGUUGAUGUAUCAUCUUUAGCAAAGGGUUUAAUGUAUCCCAUUCAAGUUCUACAGCAUCUUUAGUGUGUCAAAGCAGGCUACUUUGCAAUGAACCAAGGAUAUGCACAAAUCACCAGACAAGAAUACUGACCUCCUGGUGUACUCAGGCAGGCCCUCCGUGAUACCCUUGGAGCCUUUGCUUGAACCAAUACCUUAAAUACUCUUUUUGGCCUUCCCCACUUGUCCAAAGCCCACAGUACCAAUCCUCUUACUCUGAGCCACUCCCAGCUCUGCCCAAGCAAAGAGGCAGUUCCUCAGAGCUUACCUGGAAAGGACUCAGAGCACAGGACAACUAUUAAUGUGACUCCCUCAAGUUGUAGCAUUGAUGAGUUUUAACAAGUAGUUUAUGGCUACUUGCUACUUUAUAGCUCUGAGGUAUAGAGGUGUGGGCUAGUAUAUAGAUGUACUCAACACCUACAUAGGUCUCACGCGUCACCACCUCCCUGCUAGUUGAAAUGUCUUCUGUUUCUUGGUGGUAGACAGUUAAAGAGUGGGGAUCAAGCUUAUUCUUAGGUAGAGCAUGAGGAAACAUGAAGAGGCCCUGGUCUAGGAUGCAUGAGUUCUAGUGACCAUCCUGCAAUACAAUAGGGCCUUUCUAAGGUGUGAAUAACUUCUCAGAAAAAGAAUUAAAUGUUUUAGUUCCAGGAGAUUAGGAUUCCAUUUCAACAGUAUAUACAAGAUGACCAAGGCAGGCUUAUUAUAGGAAAAUUCUGUUCCAAAAUGUCACAGUAAUUAGCAAUGUGCUAAACACAUGGCUGUUAGUGUUUUAGAGCACUGUGAUAGUACUUUAAUCAAGAUCCUUUCUGUUGCAUGUACUAACAAGUCACUUUAGAUUCAUGUUAAAAAAAAAUCCAGAUGCAUUCUAAGCAUACCCUAAGGAUGACUGAAAACCAAGACGAGGGUACAGAACUGGAUGAAGAGACAAGGGAAGUGCUCAGGCUUACCAAAGCCUCCUAUCUCUCAUGCUUGUUCACCAGUGCCAACUCCUGCCUGCGGAAGUACUCAGAUCAUCUCCUCUUCCAGGUGGUGACUGAUUUUUCUCCUUCAUGCAAAAGCCUCAAGAUACAGAAUUAUCACUGGGCGUUUCAAUUAGUUCAUCCCUGGCUUCAACAACUAGCAUGCUAGAAAAGAGUGAAGAGGGAGAAAAAAGCAAGGCCACUGAGGGUGCUGAGUCAGGCAGAGUCUCAACAGUGCCUUUAGAGACAUCAGCUGCUACAUCAGCUGCUUAGUUGUUGAUGCUCAAACAAACCAGCAAAGCCGGGUCUGAAGGCUGAGCUUCUAGUCCCUGACUUUGGAAGGCUAAAGGUAAACUAACUACACAGUGAAACCUUGUCUCAAACAGCUGAAAACAAAAGCUCUAGUACUCUAAACAAUUUACAUCUCAAAAAAGCCCCAACAGGUACUGGAAUCAAACUAGAGAAGUCUGUUGCCUUUCAGUGCACUUCACUGGAUGUGGCUGACACCUGCUUUUCAGGUAGGAAUGAUGAAGACAAGCCAAUUACAAUGCUGUCAUUUUCUCCUUAGUAGGUUGACUGUUAACAAUCUGCUAGCUGACAACAAUGGAAUAAUAAGAAUGAAGUCCAACUGCUUCCUUAGACUUAAAAACCCUGUCAGGGAAUCAUUUUGUGGAUACAUUGCACAGAGCCUGUAGCACGUGGGUAGGUAGGUGAUCAAUGUUAGGUGAAUCUUGUGCUAAUUUUAAGUAAGUACAAGGAUCUAACAUACAAUUGGUCUUAUUGAUUUGGAUUCUUCUGCUCCUGUAUCUCAGAGCAGGCAGAGCAGAAAACAAAACCAAUCUCAGGUUUACUCUUUCCCCUUAGACAUAGCUUACAAAUACUGACAUCUUGACCUCAGAAGCACAAAAUGCACAAAGAAAUCACUAGAAAGUAUUUUAACAA